rnacentral:rRNA from 1 species
AGCGAACGCUGGCGGCAGGCUUAACACAUGCAAGUCGAACGGGCACUUCGGUGCUAGUGGCAGACGGGUGAGUAACACGUGGGAACGUACCUUUCGGUUCGGAAUAAUUCAGGGAAACUUGGACUAAUACCGGAUACGCCCUUCGGGGGAAAGAUUCAUCGCCGAUAGAUCGGCCCGCGUCUGAUUAGCUAGUUGGUGAGGUAAUGGCUCACCAAGGCGACGAUCAGUAGCUGGUCUGAGAGGAUGAUCAGCCACAUUGGGACUGAGACACGGCCCAAACUCCUACGGGAGGCAGCAGUGGGGAAUAUUGGACAAUGGGCGCAAGCCUGAUCCAGCCAUGCCGCGUGAGUGAUGAAGGCCUUAGGGUUGUAAAGCUCUUUUGUCCGGGAAGAUAAUGACUGUACCGGAAGAAUAAGCCCCGGCUAACUUCGUGCCAGCCGCCGCAGUAAGAC